AUUGAACGCUGGCGGCAUGCCUUACACAUGCAAGUCGAACGGCAGCAUGGAGAGCUUGCUCUCUGAUGGCGAGUGGCGAACGGGUGAGUAAUGCAUCGGAACGUACCGUGUAAUGGGGGAUAACGUAGCGAAAGUUACGCUAAUACCGCAUACGACCUGAGGGUGAAAGCAGGGGAUCGCAAGACCUUGCGUUAUACGAGCGGCCGAUGUCAGAUUAGCUAGUUGGUGAGGUAAAGGCUCACCAAGGCGACGAUCCGUAGCGAGUCUGAGAGGAUGAUCCGCCACACUGGGACUGAGACACGGCCCAGACUCCUACGGGAGGCAGCAGUGGGGAAUUUUGGACAAUGGGGGAAACCCUGAUCCAGCCAUGCCGCGUGAGUGAAGAAGGCCCUCGGGUUGUAAAGCUCUUUCGGCCGGGAAGAAAUCGCACAGGCUAAUACUCUGUGUGGAUGACGGUACCGGCAUAAGAAGCACCGGCUAACUACGUGCCAGCCGCCGCCGUAA
rnacentral:rRNA from 1 species